rnacentral:rRNA from 1 species
UACGGAGGGAGCUAGCGUUGUUCGGAAUUACUGGGCGUAAAGCGCACGUAGGCGGCUUUGUAAGUAAGAGGUGAAAGCCUGGAGCUCAACUCCAGAAUAGCCUUUUAGACUGCAUCGCUUGAAUCCGGGAGAGGUGAGUGGUAUUCCGAGUGUAGAGGUGAAAUUCGUAGAUAUUCGGAAGAACACCAGUGGCGAAGGCGGCUCACUGGACCGGUAUUGACGCUGAGGAACGAAAGCUAGGGGAGCAAACAGG